GAAAGAAUAUCGGAGACGGAUGGGCAUGCGGCGCAUUAGCUAGUUGGCGGGGUAACGGCCCACCAAGGCGACGAUGCGUAGGGGUUCUGAGAGGAAGGUCCCCCACACUGGUACUGAGACACGGACCAGACUCCUACGGGAGGCAGCAGUGAGGAAUAUUGGUCAAUGGGCGAGAGCCUGAACCAGCCAAGUCGCGUGAGGGAGUACUGCCCUAUGGGUUGUAAACCUCUUUUGUCGGGGAGCAAAAGCCGGACGUGUCCGUCUGUGAGAGUACCCGAAGAAAAAGCAUCGGCUAACUCCGUGCCAGCAGCCGCGGUAAUACGGAGGAUGCGAGCGUUAUCCGGAUUUAUUGGGUUUAAAGGGUGCGCAGGCGGAUUUUUAAGUCAGCGGUCAAAUCGUGGGGCUCAACCCCAUCCAGCCGUUGAAACUGGGGAUCUAGAGUGUGCGAGAGGUAUGCGGAAUGCGUGGUGUAGCGGUGAAAUGCAUAGAUAUCACGCAGAACCCCGAUUGCGAAGGCAGCAUACCGGUGCACAACUGACGCUCAGGCACGAAAGCGUGGGUAUCGAACAGGAUUAGAUACCCUGGUAGUCGACGCAGU
rnacentral:rRNA from 1 species